AAGUCGUAACAAGGUUUCCGUAGGUGAACCUGCGGAAGGAUCAUUAGAAAUAUCCGGCCUAGCCGGUAUAAAAUUCUAUCCACCCUUGUGUGCAAACAAUUGAAAAUAUUGGAUACUUUUUUUUGGUAUCCAACUUCUCUAAAAAUUUUUAUAAACUCCAUCAAAUUUUGAAUGAAAACAAUUUUUUUUUUAAAUAAAAAAUAUUAUACAACUUUCAACAACGGAUCUCUUGGCUCUC
rnacentral:misc_RNA from 1 species